rnacentral:tRNA from 1 species
UAGGAUAUCUGCCUUCCAAGCAGAUGGUCCGGGUUCGAUUCCCGGGCGGUGCA